AACUGAUACUACCUGCGGGAACCUGCGGAGGGAUCAUUACCGAGUGCGGGCCCUCUGGGUCCAACCUCCCAUCCGUGUCUCUUGUACCCUGUUGCUUCGGCGGGCCCGCCUUCAUGGCCGCCGGGGGGCUUCUGCCCCCGGGCCCGCGCCCGCCGGAGACUCCAACAUUGAACACUGUCUGAAGGUUGCAGUCUGAGUUUUCAUAUAAGAAAAAUCGUUAAAACUUUCAACAACGGAUCU
rnacentral:misc_RNA from 1 species